rnacentral:rRNA from 1 species
AUUGAACGCUGGCGGCAUGCUUUACACAUGCAAGUCGAACGGUAACAGGCCGCAAGGUGCUGACGAGUGGCGAACGGGUGAGUAAUGCAUCGGAACGUGCCCAGUCGUGGGGGAUAACUACUCGAAAGAGUAGCUAAUACCGCAUACGAUCUAUGGAUGAAAGCGGGGGACCGUAAGGCCUCGCGCGAUUGGAGCGGCCGAUGUCAGAUUAGGUAGUUGGUGGGGUAAAGGCUCACCAAGCCAACGAUCUGUAGCUGGUCUGAGAGUACGACCAGCCACACUGGGACUGAGACACGGCCCAGACUCCUACGGGAGGCAGCAGUGGGGAAUUUUGGACAAUGGGCGCAAGCCUGAUCCAGCAAUGCCGCGUGCAGGAAGAAGGCCUUCGGGUUGUAAACUGCUUUUGUACGGAACGAAACGGCUCUGGUUAAUACCCGGGGCUAAUGACGGUACCGUAAGAAUAAGCACCGGCUAACUACGUG